AAUCAACGCUGGCGGCGUGCCUAACACAUGCAAGUCGAACGCGAAAGCCCCUUCGGGGCGAAGUAGAGUGGCGUCCGGGUGGAGUAACACGUGGGUAAUCUACCUCCGGGUGGGGAAUAACUCGCCGAAAGGCGGGCUAAUACCGCAUAAUGCAGCGGCACCGAAUGGUGAUUAGUUGUUAAAGCGGGGGACCUUAGGGCCUCGCGUCUGGAGAGGAGCCUGCGGCAGAUUAGCUUGUUGGUAGGGAAUUGGCCGUACCAAGGCUGCGAUCUGUAGCUGGUCUGAGAGGGCGGCCAGCCACACUGGCACUGACACACGGGCCAGACUCCUACGGGAGGCAGCAGUGGGGAAUUUUGGGUCAAUGGGCGAAAGCCUGACCCAGCAACGCCGCGUGAAGGAGGAAAUCCUUCGGGAUGUAAACUUCACAAGCAAGGGAAGAGCGCGCAGGGUCGAAUAAACUCUGCGUCCGACGGUA
rnacentral:rRNA from 1 species